UAAGGAAUAUUGGUCAAUGGACGCAAGUCUGAACCAGCCAUGCCGCGUGAAGGAUGAAGGUCCUCUGGAUUGUAAACUUCUUUUAUCUGGGACGAAAACUGGAUUUUUAUCUCAAUUGACGGUACCAGAGGAAUAAGCACCGGCUAACUCCGUGCCAGCAGCCGCGGUAAUACGGAGGGUGCGAGCGUUAUCCGGAUUUACUGGGUUUAAAGGGUGCGUAGGUGGGCUUAUAAGUCAGUGGUGAAAUCUCCGAGCUUAACUUGGAAACUGCCGGUGAUACUAUAGGUCUUGAAUUAUCUGGAGGUAAGCUGAAUAUGUCAUGUCGCGGUGAAAUGCUUAGAUAUGACAUAGAACACCAAUUGCGAAGGCAGCUUACUACAUAUAAAUUGACGCUGAAGCACGAAAGCGUGGGGAUCAAACA
rnacentral:rRNA from 1 species